GAUGAACGCUAGCUACAGGCUUAACACAUGCAAGUCGCGGGGCAGCAUGGGGGUUGCUUGCAAUCCCCGAUGGCGACCGGCGCACGGGUGAGUAACGCGUAUCCAACCUGCCCUUCACCACGGGAUAACCCGGCGAAAGUCGGACUAAUACCGUAUGUUGUCCAUUGACGGCAUCCGAUCUGGACGAAAGGUUUGGCGGUGAAGGAUGGGGAUGCGUCCGAUUAGCUGGACGGCGGGGUGACGGCCCACCGUGGCGACGAUCGGUAGGGGUUCUGAGAGGAAGGUCCCCCACACUGGAACUGAGACACGGUCCAGACUCCUACGGGAGGCAGCAGUGAGGAAUAUUGAUCAAUGGGCGUAAGCCUGAACCAGCCAAGUAGCGUGCAGGAUGACGGCCCUAUGGGUUGUAAACUGCCGUUAUGCGGGGAUAAAGUGGCCCACGUGUGGGUUUUUGCAGGUACCGCAUGAAUAAGGACCGGCUAAUUCCGUG
rnacentral:rRNA from 1 species